AUUGAACGCUGGCGGCAGGCCUAACACAUGCAAGUCGAGCGAGCGGCGGACGGGUGAGUAAUGUCUGGGAAACUGCCUGAUGGAGGGGGAUAACUACUGGAAACGGUAGCUAAUACCGCAUACCAUCAGAUGUGCCCAGAUGGGAUGAGCUAGUAGGUGGGGUGAUGGCUCACCUAGGCGACGAUCCCUAGCUGGUCUGAGAGGAUGACCAGCCACACUGUAACGAAUACAAGUUACAGUCUCCUACGGUAGGCAGCUGUGGGGAAUAUUGCACAAUGGGGUAAAGCCUGAUGCAGCCAUGCGGCGUGUGUGAAGAAGGCCUUCGGGUUGUAAUGCACUUUAAGCGAGAAGGCGUUACUCGCAGAAGAAGCACCGGCUAACUCCGAGCCAGCAGCCGCGGUAAUAC
rnacentral:rRNA from 1 species